GAAAAUCAAGUACUGUAGUACACUUCACUUACAAUGAAAAGGUCACUUAUAUGGAUUUUU
rnacentral:tRNA from 1 species